AGUGCUGGAAAUGUUCACUAAGCUCGAAGUAUUGCUGUCCUUGUUUCGCUCGUGCUUGCCAAGGGAUUGGCGGAGAAAUAAACAAAAAGGAAAAGAAAAUGGCAGACGUGGAAUGGACAGAACGGAUUUCUUCCACAUUAAAUCAAAUUAAAUCGAUUCUGAAGAGCUCUUUCGUGGUAGGAACAUUUCCGCAUUGCCGACUCUGAUGCUCGUUCGGAUUUGUGACUUCGUUAAAAUCCUCAGCAUGGAUACUGUGGGAGUCAACAGCGAGAUUGAGGCAUGCUUCCACCAAGCACUUUGACCCGGACGCAACGAUCCCGCAGGCUGCCGUCCCGUUUCGGGCAGCAGGAGCCGUGCUAACCACAGGCUCACCUACCAGCUGGUCCUCAACUAUCUGGAGUCGCUAGAGUCGGCCAUCUAGGGGAUACAGCCGUAUUACGAAGCCGAAAGGAAGCAUGCCGCAAUGUUUGCUGUCGCUUUUCAAUAAGGCAGCUUAAGGCGCCACAUGAAUGGACUUUUGUUUGCCAUGCGAUUAUGUGCCUGGUGCUGGCAACACUUUUGGCCAACAGUCAAGAGAUUUAGCAACCAAACAAACGGCAAAGACAAAACACCACGAAAAACCCAACGCUGUUUCUUUACCGAACAACAAUGGCAGAUUAAAGAGGAAUGCGGUCUUUUAAGCCGAGUGGUGCUGUGCUUAUAACUAAUUAGAUAUCUGUUCAACCAAUGGGUGAACAAGCUUUCCCAUAAUUCAGGAUUUGGAGUCAAUAGAACUUAUCAAGACUUAUAAAUGGAUAGAUUUGUCUGUACUCACUGACUGCCGUUGGUAUCUGUGCUGCGUGCGUCGUCAGAGCUGCGAUUGUCUGCAAAGAAAGUGGAGACAAGUCACUCAUUAGCAUAGUUGGGAUAGUAGUAGCCUGACCCCCGGACUCCUGCUCAGACCCCGUGGCAGGCCGGCCAUAAAGCGUCGACGUAAAUCACGGCAAGCCGACAGUAAGCCCCAGCCUGAUCCGGCCAAGACCCGGCAGUAGGUAAGCUUCUUUAAUUAAAGUGGAUAGAAAUGCAGCAGAAAUUUCGUUUUCGUGUUGCAGGCAGAUAUGGGGAAACAUUAUAUUCUCACGAUUCUAAGGCUGCCUUGCAGUUGCGGAUGGCGAAAACUUUCGCCAGCCUCUUGCGCUGGGUUAGAGUUGAACCUGAAUCCAGGCAAAGUCGACUCUGGAGUUGGGGUUGAGUCGGGGCCAAGCGGCUCAGAAUGAAGCGGAGCUAGGCAUGGGUCCAGUGUUGUGCCACUUUUGGCAACUUGGCAACAGGCGCGAGCGAGCAGGAGCGACCAAAUCGCGUUUAGCAUACGGAGAGAGAGUCGGGUCGGGACUGGCCGGCUGGCGGUCCGUCUCUGGCCACCUCAUAUCCAGGUUAAUCGCAUUGGCAUGCAAUUGUCAUUCGGGGUUCUGGCUGAUUGAUGUGUUUAUCUGCUGCUCGGUCUCUCGGCUCUCUGCCUGGCCUGGUCUGCCAAUUUUCCAUUUCAAUGGGCCCAGAAUGAGGCUACGGAUUUUGGACCCUGGAUAAUACUUACGAUUAAGUGCAGCGCCGUGUACAGUACGUCCAUUUGUGUGCCCGACUUCAUGGUGCGAGCUGAAAAGGUGAGAGAAAGACGGAGAUUAAUGUGGUGCUCAAGACUCUAGAGAUAUCCGUGAUAACCGGUUUCACACCCACAAUACACGUAUAUCAAUCCGAUUAUGCUAAAUCAUACAACAUACAACUCGUACAGCUGUUCUGCAAUGAAUUUUUGUUGGGUUUCGCUUGGGUUCGUUGCCGGCGGGCAAACUUUCUGUUUGCCAAUUGGGUCAAGUCAACAGCCCAGCCGAAAUUCGGCUCCAAUGGAACCAGCAUCGCGUGCGCGGAUCUUGCAAAUGGGUUAACAUCGGCAUAAAUUGUGUACAACGGUUAAACAGAGGCUGGGAAGGAGGAGGAGGUGAUGCUGGAGGCCAGUGCCCAGAAGCAUCUUCAAGUACCCCCCACAACUGAGCCGAAGAUAGACAAACAUCCGUCAGUGCAACUCAUGCCGGGGACUCAUUGUGGCAUGACUGUGAUUUCCGCUAUUACAACACAAACAGAAGCAGAGGUUGGUUGGUCUGGGGGUACAUAUUACGGGGAAUUAAACACAUAUCAAUAACCAACCGGGCACGCUGCACUCAUGAUAAGCACUUUUCAGCUUCCUGCAACGGACACACGGACCCAGUUGUGUGAGAACAUUGGGUGCGAGUCAUGGCCAGGAAGACACAUCCACAUCAAAAUCACCUCCGCUGUUGCCAGUUAGAUGAUUAUCUCUGGGGCGACCCAAAACAACAACAUGCGGCUUACGUUGAUGGCCAACAGGCAAGGCGAUAAUGGCCGGA